rnacentral:rRNA from 1 species
UACAGAGGGGGCAAGCGUUGUUCGGAAUUACUGGGCGUAAAGGGCUCGUAGGCGGCCAACUAAGUCAGACGUGAAAUCCCCAGGCUCAACCUGGGAACUGCGUCGGAUACUGGAUGGCUUGAAUUCGGGAGAGGGAUGCAGAAUUCCAGGUGUAGCGGUGAAAUGCGUAGAUAUCAGGAAGAACACCCGUGGCGAAGGCGGGUCUCUGGGCCGAUACUGACGCUGAGGAGCGAAAGCGUGGGGAGCGAACAGG